GAUGAACGCUGGCGGCGUGCCUAACACAUGCAAGUCGAGCGAUUCUCUUCGGAGAAGAGCGGCGGACGGGUGAGUAACGCGUGGGUAACCUGCCCUGUACACACGGAUAACAUACCGAAAGGUAUGCUAAUACGAGAUAAUAUGCUUUUAUCGCAUGGUAGAAGUAUCAAAGCUUUUGCGGUACAGGAUGGACCCGCGUCUGAUUAGCUAGUUGGUAAGGUAACGGCUUACCAAGGCGACGAUCAGUAGCCGACCUGAGAGGGUGAUCGGCAACAUUGGAACUGAGACACGGUCCAAACUCCUACGGGAGGCAGCAGUGGGGAAUAUUGCACAAUGGGCGAAAGCCUGAUGCAGCAACGCCGCGUGAGCGAUGAAGGCCUUCGGGUCGUAAAGCUCUGUCCUCAAGGAAGAUAAUGACGGUACUAGAGGAGGAAGCCCCGGCUAACUACGUGCCAGCCGCCGCGGUAA
rnacentral:rRNA from 1 species